rnacentral:rRNA from 1 species
CGCGUAGGUGGCUUUUCAAGCGUGCGGUGAAAGCCCGGGGCUCAACCCCGGGUCGGCCGUGCGGACUGGGAGGCUUGAGCACUGUAGGGGCGGGUGGAAUUCCGGGUGUAGCGGUGGAAUGCGUAGAGAUCCGGAAGAACACCGGUGGCGAAGGCGGCCCGCUGGGCAGGAAGACUUCGUAAGAGGUCGGCUGACACUGAGGCGCGACAGCGUGGGAGCAAACA